rnacentral:lncRNA from 1 species
AAGACUAAUUUAGAUGAUUAUAUAACUGACCUGAAAUAGAGGAGUUUUAUGGAUGCUGAGCUAGAUAUGACCCAAGAUAUUGUGAGCAAAGACAGUAUAUGUGGAGAAUCAAGCACAGUAAAAUGUUUCCAAGACUAUUUUUGCAAUUUUUCAGUCUGUAAGGACCAGAGAAGAAGGGUAUAUACUUGUACAGUCACCGACUGAAAUGCAGCACCCGUGGAUCCCAUGUUAUAUUAUACCAAAAAACCUAUCCCAGCUGCACACAACAGACAUGACCAGGGUAGAUUCAAAGGAAAAGAAACAAGGCUUGAAACUCAACACUGCAGCACUUAGCAUGGUAGGGCACAGAAAUCUCUAACAGAGGGUGCAUCUGUCUAUAAGACAUAGACCCCUGCAGGAUAGCCAGUACUGAGAUCAGUUUCCCAAGCAGGACUUCCCCUAAACCAGAAGAAACAAUCUCAAACACCCAUUAUCGUAAGUCCAGCAGAUACUACCUCUUUAAUAACCAUGUUUAAUGCAAAGGACUUUCUACAGAAUCUGAGAUUUGGCCCAUCAGAUGAAGAGCAGAAACUAGGCUGCCAAUGAAAUGAAAAUAAAAUGAAACUAUAAUUCAGAGAAGAUAAGCACAGAUGCAGCCAGAGGGCACUACAGUUAGUUGUCACCAUUUCUUACAGAGUAGUAGACCAGUACCUUAAGUAUAUAAGUGUAUGACUGAGGCUGGGAAGUGGUGGGACCAGGUUUUGCAGUUUUUGUACAGUUUUGAAUUGUGCACUAGUUUGAAACUUUGCCAUAACUUUUGCUUGAUGGUUGACAUAUUUGCUAAAAUUAAAGACUUUCAUACCAAAUGUGAUGAAAUUUUUCUAGAACAAAAUGUUCAGAAUCAGAUGGAACAGGAUUAGAACUCAGCUAUCACAAAUCUCAUUUGCAUAGACCAGUUUGCUUACAGUUC